GACGAACGCUGGCGGCGUGCUUAACACAUGCAAGUCGAACGGAAAGGCCCUGCUUUUGUGGGGUGCUCGAGUGGCGAACGGGUGAGUAACACGUGAGUAACCUGCCCUUGACUUUGGGAUAACUUCAGGAAACUGGGGCUAAUACCGGAUAGGAGCUCCUGCUGCAUGGUGGGGGUUGGAAAGUUUCGGCGGUUGGGGAUGGACUCGCGGCUUAUCAGCUUGUUGGUGGGGUAGUGGCUUACCAAGGCUUUGACGGGUAGCCGGCCUGAGAGGGUGAACGGCCACAUUGGGACUGAGAUACGGCCCAGACUACUACGGGAGGCAGCAGUGGGGAAUAUUGCACAAUGGGCGGAGGCGUGAUGCAGCAACGCCGCGUGCGGGAUGACGGCCGUCGGGUUGUGAACCGCUUUCGCCUGUGACGAAGCGUGAGUGACGGUAAUGGGUAAAGAAGCACCGGCUAACUACGUG
rnacentral:rRNA from 1 species